rnacentral:lncRNA from 1 species
AAAGGGGACUCAUGGGGACUUGGGUUCCAUAGAAACAGCAGGGAAAAUGGCCAUGCGUGCCAAGUGGAAAAGGACUAAAUCAGUGGGGAAGGAAAUUUUAUUGUCACAAGUUCAAAGGGGGUGUUACAAACAAGAGAGUGGGAAAAAAAAAAAAAAAACUUCAGAAAGCAGUCCCUGAAGUCAGAUCGCAAAAUACUACUAAUGAAGCCUUGCCUUAGAGCGGUUGUCAAAUACGAUGUGGUAUUUACAUCAACAGUGACUCAGGCAGCAUUUACUACUUCCCCUUUCAAGGCAGCACGACUCUGCCUGCCCUCAGAGGACUGCAGCUCCUAACCCUGCCCAUGGACCUGGCACUGGGUGAGAGGGGAAACAAUGCGGCGGGCAGUGGGACAGGAGAGCACGCGGUAUCGGCAGCCACAGAAGCCCUUCUUAAACACUGGACCUGCAGGAACCCUCAGUUCAUCACUACAUCAAUGUGCCGCUGGUGGCAAUGCUUGCAUAUAUCUACUGUAUACUUUUGUGAAGGCAAACUGAGACAACAAGAUGGGCCAUGAACUGCCACAAAGUCACUUAUAUAGCAUCACUUCCUCCAAGGAGCCUGAAGCUCUUCAACCCCACGAAGCGGUGACAGUUUUGUUCAAGGGAGCAGCAGGAAAAUAAGACACAAAGUCCCUGCCUCUCCUGUUGCCAUGUAACUGCUGGGGCUCAUCCGAGCUCAGCUAGAACAGGCUUUUUAAGCAGCAAUUAAUUUUGAUAAGGUUGCCAGACUAUGUUGCUCCUGCUUGCAUCACACUGGAAGGCUACAGAAUCUGAAGGAGCCUCCAUCUAGUCUCUGAAAUAAAACCUACAGCAGAACACUUUUGAGUUGACUU